GCUGAUGGCGGCGGAGGAG
rnacentral:misc_RNA from 1 species